rnacentral:rRNA from 1 species
AAUCAACGCUGGCGGCGUGCCUCAGACAUGCAAGUCGAACGAUUAAAGCUCUCUUCGGAGAGUGCAUAGAGUGGCGCACGGGUGAGUAACACGUAAGUAAUCUACCUUCGAGUGGGGAAUAACGUCCGGAAACGGACGCUAAUACCGCAUAAUGCAGCGGCAUCGUAAGAUGACAGUUGUUAAAGGAGCAAUUCGCUUGAAGAGGAGCUUGCGGCAGAUAGCUAGUUGGUAAGGUAAUGGCUUACCAAGGCUACGAUCUGUAACCGGUCUAAGAGGACGGUCGGUCACACUGACACUGAAUAACGGGUCAGACUCCUACGGGAGGCAGCAGUCGGGAAUUUUGGGCAAUGGGCGAAAGCCUGACCCAGCAACGCCGCGUGAAGGAUGAAGUAUUUCGGUAU